AAGAAACACCAAGGCGAAGGUUGUCGCUGGCCCGUCAAAGGGCAUGUGCACGCCCGAGCCGUUUCAUCCACACACCCCUGUGAACCUGUAGUGGGCCUUUGGGAAACCGGAGGCUCAUGUCUUUUUACCAACCACGUAUGUCUCAGAAUGUAUCGUAAAGCCUCUUUGAGGUAUAAAUUGCAUA
rnacentral:misc_RNA from 1 species